GAUGAACGCUAGCGGCAGGCCUAAUACAUGCAAGUCGAGGGGCAGCAUAGUAGCAAUACUGAUGGCGACCGGCGCACGGGUGCGUAACGCGUAUGCAACCUACCCAUUACUGAGGGAUAGCCCGGAGAAAUUCGGAUUAAUACCUCAUGGUAUCAAGGACAGGCAUUUGUUUUUGAUUAAAGAUUUAUCGGUAAUGGAUGGGCAUGCGUCAGAUUAGCUAGUUGGCGGGGUAACGGCCCACCAAGGCGAUGAUCUGUAGGGGGUCUGAGAGGAUGAUCCCCCCACACUGGUACUGAGAUACGGACCAGACUCCUACGGGAGGCAGCAGUAGGGAAUAUUGGUCAAUGGGCGAGAGCCUGAACCAGCCAUGCCGCGUGCAGGAAGAAGGCCCUCUGGGUUGUAAACUGCUUUUGACCAGGGCCAAAAUACUCAUGCGUGAGGAAUUGAGAGUACUGGUAGAAUAAGCACCGGCUAACUCCGUGCCAGCAG
rnacentral:rRNA from 1 species